rnacentral:rRNA from 1 species
UUGACCUCGGAUCANGUAGGGAUACCCGCUGAACUUAAGCAUAUCAA